rnacentral:lncRNA from 1 species
GCCAAUGGAUUGUCCAUUCGCGGCAGAAGUGCUCAGAACCCUUCCCUUGGUGGUUGCGAGAACGGCUUAUCCCUUGCUUGAUGCCAUUAACUUUGAGGUGUGUUUGGAUUCCUUGAACGAAGAAAGAGAUGAUAGGUAGAGAUUGUCCCACUGGGCAUGCCAAAUUUGUGAACACGAAAAUUCCUAUGAUGAACGAGACAAGAACACGUGUACAAAAUAAUAUUUUGUAUUAAUGAUUUAGGGGUUACAAUCUCUCUCAAAUUUGAUCCUCUGAUUCGAUCUCCAUAAGGUGUUGAUUUGUGGAUGUGCGAUUGAUCCAAGGGCCGUCGAGGCUUGAUCAAUUUUUCUUCAAGGGUCGUUGGGGCUUAAUCUUGAAAGUUGAGGGAAGUUUCUUCAAGGGCCUUUGGGCUUGAUCUUGAAGGUUGAUGGAUGAACAGAUCUUCAAGAUUUUUGGGCUUAAUCUUGAAGAAUUGUUGAUGAACGGAUCUUCAAGGGCCUUUGGGGCUUGAUCUUGAUGAACAAUUGAUGG